GAACAGCUCAACUCCAAAUAGGCGCAUUUCCAUCGCCUCCAUCGCCGCUGUAGCUGGUGGCUGUCAGAUUGGACAGCACGGUAGAGGCGGGUCAGGAAAUGCAAGGAGAGCACUUUUGGAAGCGUCUGGAUCCUGGGCCCUCGGGGAGGGCAGGGCCUGGGUCCUGAUGUGAGGAGCCUGGAGCCUGUCCGUGGCCGAGAGGGCCUCCUUCCUCCUUCCUGGCCGACACGUCACCUGCUCCGUCCAGUCCACGAGAAGCAGCUGUGGCCCAAGCCCAUGACCUGCCUUUCUUCCCCAGCGUCACCAUCUGUGGCAGCCUGGGAUACGCAUGAGCUCCUCAGGAGGGCGGAGCUCCGUGGAACACACAUCUGGAUGACAGGAGGGAGCCAGGAGCUGUGAGAAGACGGGGGAGCUGCCGCCGCAAGAAUGCAAGACCCACGGGCUCUACGAUGCGGGGGAGCAGCGGGCAUCUGAGGAAGGGGCGUCAGGGGCACAUGGCCAGCCCUCUUCACCCCACAGUCUGCCCCAGGCCAGCCCCACUAGGAGUGACCCAUUUUCUCCUAGCAGGAUUCCUUGCAUGGGGUGGCCUGGACCCAAAACACCCGCUCUGAGGAUUCCCUGUUAACCACAGAGAAGGUUGACUCAAGUUUCUUUAUUUGGCCAUGAAACUGUGGGGCAUCUCACGGUGCUUCUUGGGUCCACUGGAGAGCCCUGGAAGCUCAGAAGAGGCAAGAGGGGCCUACUUCUCCCUUGUUUGGGCUUUGUUUGCUAAAUACCAAUAUUAGAUUAGGCAACUCUGCAAACAAAACCAAGGCCUGGCCAGCUGCCCAGGGUGUUUAAAGUCCAAGACAUGAAGGCAGGACGUGUGCCCGUGGACUUGCACACGCAAGCAGGCCGAGGGGAGAGCAGCCCGGCAGAGACCUUGGUGGUCCAGGGCUGAGCAAAGGCUUCCCCCACCGG
rnacentral:lncRNA from 1 species